AGACCUGAAAUCAGUCGAGACUACCCGACGAAAUUGAGCAUAUUAUUAAGCGAAGAAAAGAAACUGACUAUUUUUCACCCUAGUAGCGGCGAGUGAAGCGAUAAGAGCUAACAAUAAUAGUCGCGAAGCCGUGGCGGCAUCGCGAGUUGUAGCCUCUAGAGGCGCUACCAGUGGAAGGGCAGGUCCAAGUUUCUUGGAACAGAACUUCAGAGAGGGUGACAGUCCCGUCCCUUGUCCUGCUUGCUGUUUCCACGUACGGUACGCUAUUAUUGAGUCGCGUUCAUUGGGAUUUGAGCGCAAAAUGUGUGACAAGUUUAACAGAAAGCUUACUAUUGGCGCGAGACCGAUAGCGAACAAGUACUGUGAAGGAAAGAUGAAAAGGACUUGGGAAAGAGAGUUAAAAGUGUCUAGAAUGCUGAACGAGAAACGAUUUGAACUUUUGUGCCAAUAGCAAGCCCAGUGCGAAUAGAAAUAUCAUGUUGACCAAAAGGGGAAAAGCUUGCUUGAUUUUGAUUUUCAGUACGAAUACAAACUGUGAAAGCAUGGCCUAUCGAUCCUUUAGGACUGAGAAACUUUCAGCUAGAGGUGUCAGAAAAGUUGCCACAGGGAUAAAUGGCUUGUGGCAGCCAAGCGUUCAUAGCGACGUUGCUUUUUAAUCCUUCGAUGUCGGCUCUUGCUAUCAUUGGGACACAAAAGUCUCAAGUGUCGGAUUGUUCACCCGCCAAUAGGGAACGUGAGCUGGGUUUAGACCGUCGUGAGACAGGUUAGUUUUACCCUACUGAUAAAUUUGAUACUGCGACAGUAAUUCAACUUAGUACGAGAGGAACAGUUAGUUCAGAUACUUGGUUAAUGCGG
rnacentral:rRNA from 1 species